GGCACGAUAGCUCAAGUGGUAGAGCAGCGGCGUUUCGAGCCGAAGGUCGUGGGUUCGAAUCCCACUCGUAACA
rnacentral:tRNA from 1 species